GAUUCCACCUUGUUAUUAACUUUGACUUCUGAAGAUGUGACUCCUUCCCCUGCAGGGUCUACAAGCACUUACGCUCAAGGGAGAGUGGAAGAAUUUGAAUUUGUGGACUACUUAAAGAUUCCAGAAGAGUAUGAAACUUUGUAUAAGAAGAUCUAUGAUAAGUAUGGGCAUAUGGCGUCCAAAAAAGUCAUCAAGUUCAAUGAUGCUAUGUUACUGACAUGUGUUACCAGUCUAUUAAAGAUCAUCUCGGAUAUGGAAACUGUGCCAGGUGCGGAACUGAGUGAAGCAUUGCUGGAGAGAUGGGAAGGACACAUCAAAGAUGCUGAGACCUUGGAAUUCAAUAUUAAGUGGCUUCGAGAAGGCUUUAAGCGGCUUAAGAAACAUUGGAUCUCUUCAGUCGGGAUAGAUAAAAAAGUUGAAAGUUAUGAACAAGUAUUGGAUGCAUGCAGGUGAAAUGUGUUGGCCUCCUGACAAGAAAAGACCAACUUGAAACUGAACUUUCAGAAGUGAAAAGUCAGAUAGUGAAAGCUGAAGCGACGAUUUCGUCUGUGGAAGAAGCUAUUCAAGAAAUGCAGACUCAAAAAACCAAAUUUGAGCGUGAACCUGUUCUUGGAAUAGUGCUUAGCUGAAUUUAGAAAUUGCAAUGAAGCAACCAGAGCCAUAUGGCCUAGAGAAAGAGACAUACAUCACGUAUCUUAUUACAAGUUCAAGAUUAUUGGUGAUGUUCAGUUUCUGUCAAAAGGUUUUUGCAUCUUGUGCAUGGGUGUGUAUUCAGUAUGAACUUGAAAUAACUUUCUUUGUUUCUCUAUGUUGGUUGUUAGUGAAUGUUGGUUGAUUCAGAUGUUUACGAGUGAUUAGCAUGUCUGCUUACUCUGCUACAGUAAAUGUUAAAUGGUUGAUCAGCAAAUGCCGUUCUCAACUGUUUUGCUAAACAUAAUUGUCUAUUGUCUUGUUUUACUUUCUGCAUCUUCUUCUCUGAAGAUUAGCAAAAGAUUUUUUGUUGGUAAUUGACGGUGUUUCUUACAAAGCUCUUGACAAAAUUAGGCGACCUCUGUAUGAAAAGUAUUCAGUGUCAAAGUUUGCCUGGACAACAGAAGAUAUCGUUACUGGGAAAGCAACAAAUAUUAGUUUGUAUGAGCUGUAACAUACUGGAUUCCUGAAUAAGAGCCCCUGUUUUGUGCAACUCGUUGAGUAGAGCUAGAGAUUUUUAUGCAAAGAAGAUAUGGAAAUCCUGGCUGGAGAUAUCCCAAAUUAUUCAACUUCAGAAAGAUCAGUU